rnacentral:lncRNA from 1 species
AAUCCCUUACAAAUAUAUAUUAGUUCCAAUUACAAACAUAUAACUGAGGUCAGAAGUGGCUACAAUUACAAAAUCAAAACAUAAAAGAAGGCCACUUUUUUCAUUAUGCUAUUGGACUCAUCAAAGUGCAGGAAUAGUCAUGCACUCAAGUUUUGUGGAUCCACGAGAUCCUCAUAGCCUUCCAGGGGUAGGUCAGCCAGCGGUUCCUCAUUUUCUUCCUCAUUUGGGGGGAGGGCAUGGAAAGAGUAAAUUCCAUAUAUUCAGUAAGAAAAAUAAUAUUUAAAUAACAUCGUAACGUUUUAAAGAUGAAUUAUUCUAACAAAAAUACUUACUAUUUGGCUACUCUGUAGACUUAUCUUACAUUAUGAAAAUAAUUUAUUUAUUAAGAAAACAGUAUAUUAACAUAAUCAAAAUAGGCACACAUCAAAUCAAAUAAUAGAAAAAAUCAAAUAAAUAAUUAAAUGCUCAGAUUUUUGUGUCAUACUUCGCGAAGUCACUACAACUUCCAUCUCUGAAGACAGAUAAAGAUUUUCAACUACUCAUGUGGAAUGACCAGAUUAGCUACAGAUAACGACAAUUUGCUCUAGCAUAAUUCUGACUAACUAAACCAUAGUACGAUCUACGACCACAGCCAUACCAGCCAUAGUAGUCCUAUCAGAUAUCUACAGUCACCAUAGUACUUAUCCAAAAGUGACCCCUAACAGUUAUUCGUAUCACCACUCUCGUCAGAUGGUACGCUAUCAUCCACAUGAAACAGUCUUCUUACGUCUGUCCAAACCAGAUGGGGAGGGGGACACAGAUACCCUAGAUGGGGUUAAGGGAACAGAUACCUCUCAUUGAUAAAAAGCCUAACGAGACCCUUGAUGCAUUAUGCUUGUUAAUAUAGAUACAUACUUCGAACCAUUCAUGCUUCAUUCUACUUUUUCUUUUUUCUUCUUUUAUCUUUCCAGAUAACAAAACUGAGUUCAUAGUAUUUUUAUUACAUGUAAAACAUCAAGUGUCUAUAAAAUACAUAGAAUGCUUGAAAACAAGAACAAUUCAUCUUAUAAGACCUAUAAACACAUAAGCAUGCAAAACAGGCAAAGUCAAUUUUAUCAUAAUUUAAUAAUUUUUCUUUAUAUAAAAAUACUCUUUAAGACAUUAAAAGAAAUACUAAAUUCCUUACCGAAACCUUGAUAUUUCCUCCUUUACUGUUCUUUUUUUCUUUCCCGCCUUCUCUCUCUAAAUCACUAUCUCUCACUUUCUCUCUCUAAGUCUUGAAAAAUAAAAAAUGAAAAAUAGAAGUAUGGGGAAGAGUGGGAAGGGAAUACCUAUUUAUAGAAAUUUGGAACUGUUGGAUUUGCACCAAGUGGCAAAAUCCAGUGAAGAGAGAGAGAAAAAUGAUGCUCAGCACGAAAAAUGAGGGAGGAAGGCCUCCUUCACCAGUGGCAGCGACACACAACCUGAGGUGACGGCGGCGCACUAUCCGAGGUGGCAGUGGCCCGCCCGGCACAGUGCAGGCUAGCUGGCAGGCGCAUAGGCCACCUACUACACGCGCAGGGGCUAGCCUGCACGGUUGCAACGCCCAGGCACGCUAAGCGUCAGGGGCCUAUCUGCGUAGGCUUGCUAUGUGAACGAUGCGCGCACAGUGUGCGAUGCCUGUCUACGCGCGAGGUGACGCGCGG